GCGGAGGAAAAGAAACUAACAAGGAUUCCCCUAGUAACGGCGAGUGAAGCGGGAAGAGCUCAAAUUUGAAAGCUGGCACCUUCGGUGUCCGCGUUGUAAUCUCGAGAAGUGUUUUCCGUGCUGGACCAUGUACAAGUUCCUUGGAAUAGGACGUCAUAGAGGGUGAAAAUCCCGUACUUGACAUGGACGCCCAGUGCUUUGUGAUACACUCUCCACGAGUCGAGUUGUUUGGGAAUGCAGCUCAAAAUGGGUGGUAAAUUCCAUCUAAAGCUAAAUAUUGGGGAGAGACCGAUAGCGAACAAGUACCGUGAGGGAAAGAUGAAAAGCACUUUGGAAAGAGAGUUAAACAGUACGUGAAAUUGUCGAAAGGGAAGCGCUUGAAGUUAGACAUGCUUGCCGGGAUUCAGCCUUGCUUUUGCUUGGUGCAUUUCCCGGUGUGCAGGCCAGCAUCAGUUUUGUUUGCCGGAUAAGGGUGAGAGGAAUGUGGCCCCUCGGGGUGUUAUAGCCUCUCACUGGAUACGGCGGAUGGGACUGAGGACCGCAGUGUGCCUUUAUGGCGGGCCUUCGGGCACCUUCACACUUAGGA
rnacentral:rRNA from 1 species